GGGGGUGCUAGGCUUUGACGAAAAUCAUGCUUGAGAAACUGCGAGCCGAGCUGAUGAACUCGUAAAACUCCUCAAAACUAAUAACUGCAAACAAAACUGCAGCACCAGCAUACGCUUACGCGUAAGCUAGUGACCCCCAAUAUAUAAUUGGGGCAUCGGACCUCAAGGCUCCAUAGAGGAUUCUCCGGUGUUAUACCUGGAGUUCGCCGCAGUAAUUCGGUCUCAAUAUCUGCGGUUAAAUCAAUGAGACCAACCAUUGUCUUCUAAAGACUACGCUCGUAGAAAGUUUCCCAAACACCUUUCGGACGCGAGUUCAAUUCUCGCCACCUCCACUA
rnacentral:tmRNA from 1 species